rnacentral:rRNA from 1 species
AGAGUUUGAUCCUGGCUCAGGAUGAACGCUGGCGGUGUGCCUAAUACAUGCAAGUCGAGCGAACGGACGAGAAGCUUGCUUCUCUGAUGUUAGCGGCGGACGGGUGAGUAACACGUGGAUAACCUACCUAUAAGACUGGGAUAACUUCGGGAAACCGGAGCUAAUACCGGAUAAUAUUUUGAACCGCAUGGUUCAAAAGUAAAAGACGGUCUUGCUGUCACUUAUAGAUGGAUCCGCGCUGCAUUAGCUAGUUGGUAAGGUAACGGCUUACCAAGGCAACGAUGCAUAGCCGACCUGAGAGGGUGAUCGGCCACACUGGAACUGAGACACGGUCCAGACUCCUACGGGAGGCAGCAGUAGGGAAUCUUCCGCAAUGGGCGAAAGCCUGACGGAGCAACGCCGCGUGAGUGAUGAAGGUCUUCGGAUCGUAAAACUCUGUUAUUAGGGAAGAACAUAUGUGUAAGUAACUGUGCACAUCUUGACGGUACCUAAUCAGAAAGCCACGGCUAACUACGUGCCAGCAGCCGCGGUAAUACGUAGGUGGCAAGCGUUAUCCGGAAUUAUUGGGCGUAAAGCGCGCGUAGGCGGUUUUUUAAGUCUGAUGUGAAAGCCCACGGCUCAACCGUGGAGGGUCAUUGGAAACUGGAAAACUUGAGUGCAGAAGAGGAAAGUGGAAUUCCAUGUGUAGCGGUGAAAUGCGCAGAGAUAUGGAGGAACACCAGUGGCGAAGGCGACUUUCUGGUCUGUAACUGACGCUGAUGUGCGAAAGCGUGGGGAUCAAACAGGAUUAGAUACCCUGGUAGUCCACGCCGUAAACGAUGAGUGCUAAGUGUUAGGGGGUUUCCGCCCCUUAGUGCUGCAGCUAACGCAUUAAGCACUCCGCCUGGGGAGUACGACCGCAAGGUUGAAACUCAAAGGAAUUGACGGGGACCCGCACAAGCGGUGGAGCAUGUGGUUUAAUUCGAAGCAACGCGAAGAACCUUACCAAAUCUUGACAUCCUUUGACAACUCUAGAGAUAGAGC